rnacentral:rRNA from 1 species
UACGUAGGGCGCGAGCGUUGUCCGGAAUUAUUGGGCGUAAAGAGCUCGUAGGCGGCCGGUUGCGUCUGCUGUGAAAUCCCGGGGCUUAACCCCGGGCGUGCAGUGGAUACGGGCCGGCUGGAGGCAGGCAGGGGAGAAUGGAAUUCCCGGUGUAGCAGUGAAAUGCGCAGAUAUCGGGAGGAACACCGGUGGCGAAGGCGGUUCUCUGGGCCUGUACUGACGCUGAGGAGCGAAAGCGUGGGGAGCGAACAGG